rnacentral:rRNA from 1 species
GAUGAACGCUGGCGGCGUGCCUAAUACAUGCAAGUCGAGCGAACAGACGAGGAGCUUGCUCCUCUGACGUUAGCGGCGGACGGGUGAGUAACACGUGUAUAACCUACCUAUAAUACGGGGAUAACUUCGGGAAACCGGAUCUAAUACCGGAGAAUAUAUUGAACCGCAUGGUUCAAUAGUGAAAUUCGGUUUUGCUGUCACUUAUAGAUGGAUCCGGGCCGCAUUAGCUAGUUGGUAAGUUAACGGCUUACCAAGGCAACGAUGCGUAGCCGACCUGAUGGACUGAUAGCCCACACUGGAACGGAGACAGCGACAUGAGUCCUACGGGACGGAGCAGUCGGGAACCUUACGCAAUGGUCGAAAACCUUACGGAGCAACCCGGAGCGAGAGACAACGGUCUCGGGAUCGUAAUGAUCUGCUACUAGGUAAGAACCACUGUGUACGUAAAUAUGCCCGUCUUGACGGUAAUUAAUAAGAAAGCACCGGCUAACUACGUG